CAUGUAAUUCCUACAAUGUUAAUGCACUAUAUCCCAUUAGAACUUUGUAGUUAAGCAUGCUUGGGCUAGAGUACUGGGAUGGGUGACCUACUCGGAAGUCCUAAUAUUUUACAUGC
rfam:Picea glauca, whole genome shotgun sequence.